rnacentral:lncRNA from 10 species
CCUCCAGAUUGCUCGAGGCCACCUGGUUGACUUUUGCCUUGGAGUCGGUCCAGAAAAGCAUUAUUUACCCUUUAAAACAAUGAAAAAUGUGUGUGAGUAGAAAACUUGCUGCAGGGCUGAGAGAUUUCUGAGAAUCUAAUGUGUUGUAUGAACUGACCAUGGGGAUAGCUUCCUGGCUUCAGCUUAGAAGAAAUCCACAGAAACUUCUCUUCACACUAACCAUAUGACAUGCUGUUAACCCCUCUUUACUGGAGCUGGUGCCAAUCUUGGCUCAAGCCAAAGGGGAUACGAAUUCUUAACCUGAGAGUUUCAGGCACUCAUCUCCUGCCAGUUCAGCAAGACCCUAGUUCAAGAAAGAAACUACAGCCCUCAGAAUCAUGCCAGGUAUGAACCUCAGAGGCUGGAGAGAGAAAGAAGCCUCAGCAUGAACCAAAACAUGAAGAAGAACCAAAGAUAGCUCUAUGGCAUUAUUGUUGCAAGAUAGAUGUCCUUCCUAUAUUCCCUGCACUCCACUGCCAGUCUUGCUAAAGUAAACCCCAUACAUGAAAAGCAGAAAUGGAAGAUUAUAAUUUCCACAUGGUGAGGCACCCCUUCUGCCGUGUUUUGCCCUAUUCCCGGAGCCUAGGACACAGCCUUUAUGGAGUGUAGCCUGAUAAUGUAGUUACUGAAUGAAACAAAUCUUCCUGGCACACGUUCUUCACCCCUGAAAACAACAUGGAUGAUGAGUGCAGACUGCAAAACAGCUCACUGGCAAUUGCUCUCAAUUCACUCAAACCCUGCGAAGACUGAUGCCUUGUCAUGAAGACAUAAGGAUCUGAAAUAAAGUGGCACUUUGGAGCUAACCAUGGGUCUUUCUCAUCAUUCUCAUUUCAUGCUGAGCAGCUUCUGGCCUAUUAAAAGCAGAUGAGAAGUUCACCAGUGCUCUAUCAUCUUCUUGGUGACCUACUGGCACCAACUACAGCAGAUCCACUGUGCAUCCAUGAGGCUAGGUACCAUGAAAGUUUUGACCAGAAGGAGCCACCACCAUACUCUUAAAACACAUCCAGAAACUCACCUUUUAUUUUCAAUGCUUGUAUUCUUGUUUUCAGGAUUUUCAUGUGUCUAAAUAUUUCUGUUCAGAAAUUCUUCAAAAUUAUCUAGUACCUCAAAUAAACAGUUAGCAAUAACUAGU